rnacentral:rRNA from 1 species
UACGUAGGGGGCAAGCGUUGUUCGGAAUUACUGGGCGUAAAGCGCGCGUAGGCGGCUUUGUACGUUAGAGGUGAAAGCCCGGGGCUCAACUCCGGAAUUGCCUUUAAGACUGCAUCGCUAGAAUUGUGGAGAGGUAAGUGGAAUUCCGAGUGUAGAGGUGAAAUUCGUAGAUAUUCGGAAGAACACCAGUGGCGAAGGCGACUUACUGGACACAUACUGACGCUGAGGUGCGAAAGCGUGGGGAGCAAACAGG